GAUGAACGCUGGCGGCGUGCCUAAUACAUGCAAGUCGAGCGAACAGACGAGGAGCUUGCUCCUCUGACGUUAGCGGCGGACGGGUGAGUAACACGUGGAUAACCUACCUAUAAGACUGGGAUAACUUCGGGAAACCGGAGCUAAUACCGGAUAAUAUUUUGAACCGCAUGGUUCAAAAGUGAAAGACGGUUUUGCUGUCACUUAUAGAUGGAUCCGCGCCGCAUUAGCUAGUUGGUAAGGUAACGGCUUACCAAGGCAACGAUGCGUAGCCGACCUGAGAGGGUGAUCGGCCACACUGGAACUGAGACACGGUCCAGACUCCUACGGGAGGCAGCAGUAGGGAAUCUUCCGCAAUGGGCGAAAGCUUGACGGAGCAACGCCGCGUGAGUGAUGAAGGUCUUCGGAUCGUAAAACUCUGUUAUUAGGGAAGAACAAAUGUGUAAGUAACUAUGCACGUCUUGACGGUACCUAAUCAGAAAGCCACGGCUAACUACGUG
rnacentral:rRNA from 1 species